UACCUUUUCUAAAAGAAAGGUUCUUCCGACCACCACCCGCGAAGCGUGGGCAAGGCACUGACGCACAUUUCUUCUCCAUGACACGGGGCCCGAAGCCGGAUCCUCCCACACCGAAGCACGCAGGCAGCUUCGUCCCGUGCCCGUCGCGUCGCGCAACAAAACCAGCGGGAGGAGAAAAGGAUUGGUAGAAGGAACGAGGAAAGGCCAUUCGAAAUCGACCAUCCAAAUCCGAGCCCUCCUUCACAUUUCUUGCAGCGCUAUUUUUCAUCUGUCCGCGUCGCGGGGAGAUGAUGGGGGCGGCGGACAAGGCCGAGCUAGGGUUCGAGGAGGAUGAUGAUAUGGUGGCCGGCACGGCGCCGCCGGCCAUGAAGAUGCAGUCGCUCGACUUCGAGCACAUCGGCUCGCUCGCGGCGGUGGCGGAGUCGCUCUCGCCCCGGAGCAAGUGGCGGAUGGCGCUGAGGAGCAUACGCAUCGUCAUCUUCCAUGCCAAGAUCAAUGUGCUCCUGCCCUUCGGGCCCCUCGCCAUCACGCUUCACUACCUCUCCGGGAACCACCAAGGAUGGGUUUUCCUUUUCAGCUUAGUUGGUAUCACUCCCUUGGCCGAGAGAUUGGGAUAUGCAACUGAGCAACUUGCUUGCUACACUGGCCCAACAAUUGGGGGGCUUCUAAAUGCUACUUUCGGAAAUGCGACAGAGAUGAUUAUCUCGAUAUAUGCACUGAAAAAUGGAAUGAUUCGUGUCGUACAACAGUCACUACUAGGCUCUAUAUUAUCAAACAUGCUGUUAGUUCUUGGGUGUGCUUUCUUUGCUGGUGGGCUUGCUCAUCCUAAUAGAGAUCAGGUCUUCAAUAAGGCAUCAGCUGUUGUGAACUCUGGGUUGUUGUUGAUGGCUGUCUUGGGUCUAAUGUUUCCAGCGGUGCUUCACUUUACACAUUCUGAAGCACACUAUGGAAAAUCUGAAGUUUCUCUUUCAAGGUUUAGUAGCUGCAUAAUGCUUGUGGCUUAUGCUAGCUAUCUAUUUUUUCAACUCAAGAGCCAGCGCAGUCUGUACAGCCCAAUUGGUGAAGAAGAAAGCACCGAGGAUGAGGAGGAUGAAAAGGAGAUAACACAGGGCGAAGCUAUCUCCUGGCUUUUUGUAUUGACUAUUUGGAUUUCAAUUCUCUCUGGGUAUCUGGUAGAUGCCAUACAGGGGGCCUCUGAAUCAUUAAACAUGCCACUGGCCUUUAUUAGUGUUAUUCUGCUUCCUAUCGUGGGGAAUGCUGCUGAGCAUGCAAGCGCCAUUAUGUUUGCCAUGAGAAACAAACUUGACAUUACAUUGGGUGUCGCCAUAGGGUCGUCAACACAGAUAUCUAUGUUUGUAAUUCCAUUCUGUGUGGUAAUUGGCUGGAUGAUGGGGGAAGAGAUGGACUUGAACUUUCAAUUGUUUGAGACAGCAACUCUUUUUAUAACAGUACUUGUGGUGGCAUUUAUGCUACAGGAAGGCACGUCAAACUAUUUUAAAGGCCUUAUGCUCAUAUUAUGUUAUCUCAUAGUUGCCGCAAGCUUUUUUGUGCACGUUGAUCCCAAAUCAAGUUGCCUUGCCGAUGGAUGCCCCCUCGGCCCCCAAGCACCUCCAGGCCACUAGACAGCCCUCAGAUCCAGGGGCUGUUCCACGUAUGGUUAUGUACAUUGUCGAUCUUUUAACUCUGUAAGCGCACUCAGAGAUAAUGUUAUCUGUCACACCAACGCAAUGAGAGUUUGUAAUGCCAUAUGGUGACAACAAAUGACAAGUUCCCAACAAAACUGUGAAGUGAUAGGGAAGGCUACUAUCAGAAUUGCAGAUUUAGCAUGUAGCAGUGUAGCACCUGCGUAUUCCUGAGUUUGAAGAACUUGCUGGUAGCAGCAUCCCACAUUAAGGCUUUAAGUUUCAGCUUGAAAUCACAAGGCGCUGAUGCGGCUUUUUUAAGAUAGCAACGGCAUCACCCUUUGAGAAACUGUAGCAAUAUGGAAUAGCGCAUGAGGACCACUAGUCUGUAUUUGCUGUAAGCUACACCUGGUUGCAGUUUUGAUGUUGUUAUAGUUUGCCAAGGAACUGACUACACUUUGCAGUCCAAGGGACACUGGUAGUUAUGUAAAUGUUUUAUCACGGGAUAGAAUAUCAAAUGGAUUUGUUAUGUCA